UACGUAGGUGGCAAGCGUUGUCCGGAUUUACUGGGCGUAAAGAGCGCGCAGGCGGUCGUUCAAGUCGCGUGUGAAAGCCCCCGGCUCAACUGGGGAGGGUCACGCGAUACUGAUCGACUGGAAGGCAGGAGAGGGUAGUGGAAUUCCCGGUGUAGUGGUGAAAUGCGUAGAUAUCGGGAGGAACACCAGUGGCGCAAGCGGCGAACUGGCCGAGACCUGACGCUGAGACGCGACGGCGUGGGGAGCAAACCGG
rnacentral:rRNA from 1 species